CACUGGCUGCUGGACGGCGCGUUGCGCGUGCUCGCCGCACGCCGAGAGCGGUUCGAGCCCGUCGAUGGCGG
rnacentral:tRNA from 2 species